rnacentral:rRNA from 1 species
UACGGACUGGGCUGGCGUUGUUCGGAAUUACUGGGCGUAAAGCGCACGUAGGCGGAUGCUUAAGUCGGGGGUGAAAUCCCGGGGCUCAACCCCGGAACUGCCUUCGAUACUGGGUGUCUGGAGGUCGAGAGAGGUGAGUGGAAUUCCGAGUGUAGAGGUGAAAUUCGUAGAUAUUCGGAGGAACACCAGUGGCGAAGGCGGCUCACUGGCUCGAUACUGACGCUGAGGUGCGAAAGCGUGGGGAGCAAACAGG